ACGAAGGGGGCGGGCGUUGUUCGGAUUUACUGGGCGUAAAGGGCGCGCAGGCGGUUCUGUUUGUCGAGUGUGAAAGCCCCGGGCUCAACCUGGGAACUGCGCUCGAAACGGCGGAACUAGAGUUCGGGAGAGGAGAGUGGAAUUCCCAGUGUAGAGGUGAAAUUCGUAGAUAUUGGGAAGAACACCGGUGGCGAAGGCGGCUCUCUGGACCGAUACUGACGCUGAGGCGCGAAAGCGUGGGGAGCAAACAGGA
rnacentral:rRNA from 1 species